rnacentral:rRNA from 1 species
GAUGAACGCUGGCGGCGUGCCUAAUACAUGCAAGUCGAGCGAACGGACGAGAAGCUUGCUUCUCUGAUGUUAGCGGCGGACGGGUGAGUAACACGUGGAUAACCUACCUAUAAGACUGGGAUAACUUCGGGAAACCGGAGCUAAUACCGGAUAAUAUUUUGAACCGCAUGGUUCAAAAGUGAAAGACGGUCUUGCUGUCACUUAUAGAUGGAUCCGCGCUGCAUUAGCUAGUUGGUAAGGUAACGGCUUACCAAGGCAACGAUGCAUAGCCGACCUGAGAGGGAUCGGCCACACUGGAACUGAGACACGGUCCAGACUCCUACGGGAGGCAGCAGUAGGGAAUCUUCCGCAAUGGGCGAAAGCCUGACGGAGCAACGCCGCGUGAGUGAUGAAGGUCUUCGGAUCGUAAAACUCUGUUAUUAGGGAAGAACAUAUGUGUAAGUAACUGUGCACAUCUUGACGGUACCUAAUCAGAAAGCCACGGCUAACUACGUG